rnacentral:rRNA from 1 species
AUUGAACGCUGGCGGCAUGCCUUACACAUGCAAGUCGAACGGCAGCGCGGGUGCUUGCACCUGGUGGCGAGUGGCGAACGGGUGAGUAAUACAUCGGAACGUACCUUAUCGUGGGGGAUAACGCAGCGAAAGCUGUGCUAAUACCGCAUACGCCCUGAGGGGGAAAGCGGGGGAUCGAAAGACCUCGCGCGAUUAGAGCGGCCGAUGCCUGAUUAGCUUGUUGGUGGGGUAAAAGCCCACCAAGGCGACGAUCAGUAGCUGGUCUGAGAGGACGAUCAGCCACACUGGGACUGAGAACCGGCCCAGACUCCUACGGGAGGCAGCAGUGGGGAAUUUUGGACAAUGGGGGCAACCCUGAUCCAGCAAUGCCGCGUGAGUGAAGAAGGCCUUCGGGUUGUAAGGCUCUUUUGUCAGGGAAGAAACACCGGCUCUAACACAGUCCGGGAAUGACGGUACCUGAAGAAUAAGCACCGGCUAACUACGUGCCAGCCGCCGCCGUAA